UACGUAGGGUGCAGGCGUUACUCGGAAUUACUGGGCGUAAAGCGUGCGCAGGCGGUCUCUUAAGACAGGUGUGAAAUCCCCGGGCUUAACCUGGGAACUGCGCUUGUAACUGAGAGGCUAGAGUGUGGCAGAGGGGGGUGGAAUUCCACGUGUAGCAGUGAAAUGCGUAGAUAUGUGGAGGAACACCGAUGGCGAAGGCAGCCCCCUGGGCUAACACUGACGCUCAUGCACGAAAGCGUGGGGAGCAAACAGG
rnacentral:rRNA from 1 species